AGAAAGAGAGAGAGAGAGAUAAGAAAGAAGAAUGAGAGGGAAAGUGAUGCGAAAAGAGAAAGGUGUGUGAGUGAGAGAGAGAUAGUUUGAUAACCGGAUUGGUUUAAAUGUCGCUUUUUUGGAUUGGUUUGGUUUAAGAUUCUGGUUUAAUGUGGAAAAAUGAAGAAUACGUAAUUGAUUUCUUUGUUGAAUUUUAGGUUAUGAAUACUUGUGAUUGUGAUUUUUUAACGGCAUGAG